CAGCUCUUGGAGCUUGGCAGGUUAAUUAGGACAUAUUCCUUCUGACUCUGACAGAACCUCCUGUCUGUACAGCCCACAUUGUUCAUUCAUGAUGACCGUUGAACGCGGGCUCCAGGGUGAUUUCCACAGUCUUCACCCUCAUGUUCAUGUACAUGUAACUUUGUCCUCUGGAGUACGAGUGGCAUCUAUGACUUGCUUCUCAUCAAAGGAAGAUAGCAGAAGUGGUGGAGGUCACUGUGGUGACCACGGACUCUUUCCUGCUGAAUGGACUCCAGAUGCAUUCCAGAGACUCUUCUUGCUAACGUUAGUGAUGUUGAGGGGAAAGAUAUGUGGGCAGCUUCUUGUUUCUUAGAGCAACCUCCAUUUUCCAGAUGAUAGGAAUCAGGGGGUCUGGGGCUUGCAGUUGCAGUAAACCCUUCUAACACCACAAGUAGAUACUUCUGGGAACUGAAACGGCCCCUACUAGUCACCCUGUCCCCCGCCCCAUAGUUUCCAUAAGGUCUGGAAAAUGGUAGGUUUUUUUUUUCUUAUUUCUGCAUCUGUUUUCACAAUAAACUCUCUUAUUAUUUAAA
rnacentral:lncRNA from 1 species